rnacentral:rRNA from 1 species
GGGAGGGGGGGCAAGCGUUGUUCAGAAUUACUGGGCGUAAAGGGCGCGUAGGCGGCCUGCCAAGUCAGGGGGUGAAAGGGCCCGGGCUCAACCCGGGAAUUGCCCUUGAAACUGGCAAGCUAGAGUCCGAGAGAGGAUGGCGGAAUUCCCAGUGUAGAGGUGAAAUUCGUAGAUAUUGGGAAGAACACCGGUGGCGAAGGCGGCCAUCUGGCUCGGUACUGACGCUGAGGCGCGAAAGCGUGGGGAGCAAACAGGAUUAGAUACCCUGGUAGUCCACGCCGUAAACGAUGUGUGCUAGACGUUGGAGGUCUUAGGCCUUCGGUGUCGCAGCUAACGCGUUAAGCGCACCGCCUGGGGAGUACGGCCGCAAGGUUA